UACGUAGGUGACAAGCGUUGUCCGGAUUUACUGGGCGUAAAGAGCGCGCAGGCGGUCGAUCAAGUCGAGUGUGAAAGCCCCCGGCUCAACUGGGGAGGGUCAUUCGAUACUGAUCGACUCGAAGGCAGGAGAGGGUAGUGGAAUUCCCGGUGUAGUGGUGAAAUGCGUAGAGAUCCGGAGGAACACCAGUGGCGAAGGCGACACGCUGGGCCGUACCUGACACUGAUGCGCGACAGCAUGGGGAGCAAACAGG
rnacentral:rRNA from 1 species